GACUGGAUGGUCUAGUGGUUAGACGUCCCCCUGGAGUAGGGAAGGACUAGGUUCAAAUCAUUACCAGCUG